GAUAAAAUGGCUGAGGUUAAAAGCGGCAGAUUGUAAGUCUGUAGACGAAAGAGUUUUCUUUUAUCA
rnacentral:tRNA from 1 species